rnacentral:rRNA from 1 species
GUGUCAGCAGCCGCGGUAAUACGUAGGGGGCAAGCGUUGUCCGGAUUUAUUGGGCGUAAAGAGCGUGUAGGCGGCCAGGGAGGUCCGUUGUGAAAACUCGAGGCUCAACCUCGAGACGCCGAUGGAAACCCCCUGGCUAGAGUCCGGAAGAGGAGAAUGGAAUUCCUGGUGUAGCGGUGAAAUGCGCAGAUAUCAGGAAGAACACCCGUGGCUAAGGCGGUUCUCUAGUACGGUACUGACGCUGAGACGCGAAAGCGUGGGGAGCGAACAGGAUUAGAUACCCUGGUAGUCC